rnacentral:rRNA from 1 species
UUACGGCUCAGUAACACGUGGCUAACCUGCCCUCAGGACGGGGACAACCCCGGGAAACUGGGGCUAAUACCCGAUAAGUGAGGAGGCCUGGAAUGGUUCUUCGCCUAAAGGACGUUGGGACCAUGCUUUUCAACGUUGCCUGAGGAUGGGGCCGCGCCCGAUCAGGUUGUUGGUGAGGUAAUGGCUCACCAAGCCUAUAACCGGUACGGGCCGUGAGAGCGGGAGCCCGGAGAUGGGCACUGAGACAAGGGCCCAGGCCCUACGGGGCGCAGCAGUCGCGAAAACUCCGCAAUGCGCGAAAGCGUGACGGGGCUACCCCGAGUGCCGUCCGCUGAGGAUGGCUUUUUCCUGGUGUAAUGAGCCGGGGGAAUAAGGAGAGGGCAAGACUGGUGUCAGCCGCCGCGGUAAUACCAGCUCUCCGAGUGGUAGGGACGAUUAUUGGGCUUAAAGCGUCCGUAGCCGGCUUAGCAAGUCUUCUGUUAAAUUCAGCGACCCAAUCGUUGAGCCGCGGAAGAUACUGUUAGGCUAGGAGGCGGAAGAGGCCGACGGUAUUCUCGGGGUAGGGGUGAAAUCCUAUAAUCCCGGGAGGACCACCAGUGGCGAAGGCUGUCGGCUAGAACGCGCUCGACGGUGAGGGACGAAAGCUGGGGGAGCGAACCGGAUUAGAUACCCGGGUAGUCCCAGCUGUAAACGAUGCGGGCUAGGUGUUGGGGUGGCUACGAGCCACUUCAGUGCCGCAGGGAAGCCAUUAAGCCCGCCGCCUGGGGAGUACGGCCGCAAGGCUGAAACUUAAAGGAAUUGGCGGGGGAGCACCACAAGGCGUGAAGCUUGCGGUUCAAUUGGAGUCAACGCCGGG